CUGAAAGGUGAAGAGAACAUCAGUAAGCCGGGCAAUGCCUGACAAAAGCUUAUGCCAUGAAAAGACGAUUGCUUACCUGCCUGACACUCAGGGGUUCUCCCUGCAUAAGACUGUCACAUUCCUGUGCCAAUGCUGCGUGUCACUCUGUGUGUCCCCAUCUAUCACCAAUUGUGGCCCACUAACAAUCACGGGGACAGGAGAUCUGGGGAAGCCUGAAGUGUGGCAGCAAAGCUGCUGACUGAACCUUGGUGGCUAAAUGCUUUAUUCAACUUGAUGAGGACAAGAACUGGGAUUCUGUUAAAGGCUGAAGCUUCCACUGGAGAAAUGAUAGGUCAGAAGUGUUUGCUUCACAAUACGGAGGCUGUGCUGUUAGGAUUGCUAUGGGGUCCGGUCCUACUUAGAUCCAGGAGUGUACUUGUAUGAAUUCCGACAAGUGGAAUCCAGCCUCUUCCGUCGGUGGGGCCCUGCGGCACUGUGCACAUCCACCAUUCGUGUUUCCCAGCAUUCUCUCAGCUCUUCAGUGCCAUGCUCACUCUGCAAAACUAUGCUCGAGAAGUGACAACCAGAGAGCAAAAGCCCUUCAGGAAUCUUUUCCAGACUUCAGUCUGCUGGACUAACCCAUAGUUAGCUCUGAGAGCUUGGACGCUCUCCUUCUGUCCAUGAGAGACUUACUGCCUGAGCAGCCCUUCCUUCCACCUGCAUGUGACCCCCCAUGGGCAAUCUCUUCCAGAGACGCAGCUCUGCUCAUUUGUAUUCAUGUGCACGCAUCAGGGACACUUUGUUCUCUCUGUGUACCUUGGUUUAAUGAGACGUCCCUGUGACCAUCCGUCACGUCCUCAAAGAAUGACUUGAAGAAAAAUACAUAAUUUUAAAAAUAGGUCCAGUACUUACUCCUUCCUACACUAGAAGCCGUAAUAACCUUCGUGUUUUCACUGACUUUACGAGCAGAGCUAUGUUUCAAAAAGGGUUUGAAAAGCCAAGCUGAUGAUUGCUCAAGGUUUUCAUAUUAAGCCAGGGCAGCCCAUUAUGUGGUAACCACACUGACUGAUUUUUCUAAUAUUGAACCAAACUUGUAAGUUAUUAUGACCAAGGGAAAUCUAAGUAAGUCCUUGAGCUUUAUUUACUUCUAGUUGGCUUUAAACGUAACCAUUUUUGAGGUUACAGAGCUGAAGAAUUAUUAUCCA